rnacentral:tRNA from 1 species
GCGGGAAUAGCUCAGUGGUAGAGCAUCACCUUGCCAAGGUGGGGGUCGCGGGUCCGAAUCCCGUUUCCCGCUCCA